GAGAGUGGGUAGUCCGCACGAGCGCACCUUACUUUUAGUUGCCACCAUUUAGUUGAGCACUCUGAAAGAACUGCCAGUGAUAAGCUGGAGGAAGGUGGGGAUGACGUCAAGUCCUCAUGGCCCUUACGUGUUGGGCUACACACGUGCUACAAUGGCACUUACAAUAGGAAGCAAAGAGGCGACUCCAAGCAAAUCCUAAAAAAGUGCCUCAGUUCGGAUUGUACUCUGCAACUCGAGUACAUGAAGCUGGAAUUGCUAGUAAUCGCGGAUCAGCGCGCCGCGGUGAAUACGUUCCCGGGUCUUGUACACACCGCCCGUCACACCAUGGAAGUUGGUUCUACCUUAAGGCAAAGCAUAAAACCUUUGACCACGGUAUAGUCAGCGACUGGGGUGAAGUCGUAACAAGGUAGCCGUAGGGGAACCUGCGGCUGGAUUACCUCCUUUCU
rnacentral:rRNA from 1 species